rnacentral:rRNA from 1 species
AUGGUGAUCUCGGCGGAGCCGCCGCCCGCGGCUCUGCCGUCGGAUCCCACCGCGGAAGGCGGCGCCGGGGAGGCGGGGGGCGCGGCCGUGGAGGCGGUGAUGACGCCGUCGAGCGCGCGCCGCGGGGCCCUGUCGUCGCUCCCGUCGACGCUCAAGACGUGGGGGAGCCACCGGAUGCUGCGCUGCGCCCCCGUCAACCGCGCCGGCGACGCCAUCGCCCCGGCCAGGCGGUCCUCCUCGCAGCAGCUCGACGAGGUCAGCGAGAGGCUCCUCCUCGGCCUCCGCGAGGCGGCGGCGGCGGCGCCGGGCGGCGGUGCCAGCGCCGCGGACGACGACGAGUCCCCGGGGGUCGUCGAGGCGGCCUCUCCGCGUCCGUCGAAGGCGCGCACCCGACGACGCCGCCGCGCCCUGAUGCCGCCGUCCCCCGCGCCCGCCGCGAGCGCCUCGCCCCAGGCGUCGGAGCGCGAGCGGAGGCUGGUCCGCGCCGACGCGCUCGGCAGGGCGCGGUUCUCCGCGACGCUCUCCGCCGAGGAGAUCGAGGAGGACGUGUACGCGCUGACCGGCGCGCGCCCGCGCCGCCGCCCGCGGCGCCGCCGGCCCCGCCCCGUGCAGAAGCAGCUCGAUAUGCUACUCCCCGGCGCGUGGCUAUCGGAGAUCACCGCCGAGUUCUACCGGGUGCCGGACGAUCGCUGA